GAACAAUGACUUACAGAUAGAGCUUUAGUCUACUCCUUUGCUAUUCCUGAAGGUUUUUUUUUUUUUUUUUUAUUCAAUGAAAACUAAGACUUACCAUCAUACUAGGAAUAAAUUCUUUCCUAAAUUCUGCAAAAACCCUUUUGAUGCAGAGGGCACUAUUUUGGAAAAUCCUAUAUUCAUGAUCACAGAUACAGACUCUUCAAAGAGAUGGUGGUUUCUCUAAGACUCACCAGGCAGGCCUUCUGUCAGCUUAUCUAAUUCUUUUUCUGAGAGGUGAAUCUGCAUCUUCCCCAGAAUUUCAUCCAAACUGGAUACAUCAAUUUUUCUUCCUUAGAAAAGCAAGAGGGAUGGAAGGGAAGAAAGGCAGUUUUUAAAAAAACAUAUUCAUUUCUGGCUAUUAUUAACUUGAUUGGCAAGUGCUACUGAGGUAAAAUAUAUAAUUUAUAUCUUUGUAUUGUAAUUUAAUAUUUUUAUAGGACUAUCAGAACUUUAAUUUGGCUUUUCUAGUUAUCCAGGAAAAAAAAAGUAAGAUAGUGAAUUUAAAAUCUGUUCCCUAUAAACAUAUUUUGAGAUAAACUCAGAUAGCAAAAUACCUAAGUAUUUUAUGGUUUAGAGUACAAUAAUCACAGAUUUCACACUUUUAAACAUAACAACAAAUUAUUAUCAGUUGCCUGAGCUUCCAGAGUUUUCCCCCCUGAGAGUAACUGUUAAUCUUUCAAUGCAGUGUGUGUUGUAUACCCCUUAACCUGACCUUUUUCAAUGUAAUAUUCUUCAUCUUAUUUUUCUUCUCCUUAUUCCUUUUUACUCAUAUUUGUUUUCUUCCCUCACCACCACCACCCCAACCACCCUACUCUUCUCUCGUCUUUAGAAAUCGAUUAUCAUGGUGACAAUUUUUUUUUGAUAAAGCAAAUCUACAACUAGAGAGAUGGCUCAAGUAUGAAUAGCUCUAGCAACAAUGUCAUGAAGACCGAAAUUCAGAUUCCAGCACUCACACAACAGGUACUCAUGAUAGAUGAUAGAGAUAGAUAGAUCUCAUGAAGAUUUAAAGAGGUUAUAAAUAAUUCCCUUAAAGACAUACAGGAAAACACAAGCAGGUAGAAGCUCUUAAAGAGGAAACAAAUAAAUCCUUUAAAGAAAUACAGGAAAAUACAAUUAAACAGGCAAAGAAUAAAAGGUGCCAGUCCUAAAAAUGGAAAUAGAAGUAAUAAAGAAAACACAAAUGGAGGCAGCCCUGGAGGCAGAAAUCCUAGG
rnacentral:lncRNA from 1 species